rnacentral:rRNA from 1 species
ACACAUGCAAGUCGAACGAAGCAUUUAGAACAGAUUAUUUCGGUAUGAAGUUCUUUAUGACUGAGUGGCGGACGGGUGAGUAACGCGUGGGUAACCUGCCUUGUACUGGGGGAUAGCAGCUGGAAACGGCUGGUAAUACCGCAUAAGCGCACAAUGUUGCAUGACAUGGUGUGAAAAACUCCGGUGGUAUAAGAUGGACCCGCGUCUGAUUAGCUAGUUGGUGAGAUAACAGCCCACCAAGGCGACGAUCAGUAGCCGACCUGAGAGGGUGACCGGCCACAUUGGGACUGAGACACGGCCCAGACUCCUACGGGAGGCAGCAGUGGGGAAUAUUGCACAAUGGAGGAAACUCUGAUGCAGCGACGCCGCGUGAGUGAAGAAGUAAUUCGUUAUGUAAAGCUCUAUCAGCAGGGAAGAUAGUGGCGGUACCUGACUAAGAAGCUCCGGCUAAAUACGUGCCAGCAGCCGCGGUAAUACGUAUGGAGCAAGCGUUAUCCGGAUUUACUGGGUGUAAAGGGAGUGUAGGUGGCCAUGCAAGUCAGAAGUGAAAAUCCGGGGCUCAACCCCGGAACUGCUUUUGAAGCUGUAAGGCUGGAGUGCAGGAGGGGUGAGUGGAAUUCCUAGUGUAGCGGUGAAAUGCGUAGAUAUUAGGAGGAACACCAGUGGCGAAGGCGGCUCACUGGACUGUAACUGACACUGAGGCUCGAAAGCGUGGGGAGCAAACAGGAUUAGAUACCCUAGUAGUCCACGCCGUAAACGAUGAAUACUAGGUGUCGGGGCCCAUAAGGGCUUCGGUGCCGCAGCAACCGCAAUAAGUAUUCCACCUGGGGAGUACGUUCGCAAGAAUGAAACUCAAAGGAAUUGACGGGGACCCGCACAAGCGGUGGAGCAUGUGGUUUAAUU